UGCAGGAGCUAUCUCUCUGUACCUCUUACAUGGUUGCCCACUGAAGUUAAGCAGGGGUGCACCUGGUCAGUACCUGGACGGGAGAACACAUGGGAAAGCCAGGUUGCGGCUGCAA
rnacentral:rRNA from 1 species